GGGAUACCACCCUUGUAGUACUGGGACUCUAACCAUAGGCCAUGAAACUGGUCUUGGGACACUGUCAGGUGGGCAGCUUGACUGGGGCGGCCGCCUCCCAAAAGGUAACGGAGGCGCUCAAAGGUUCUCUCAGUACGGUCGGAAAUCGUACGUAGAGUGUAAAGGCAAAAGAGAGCUUGAUUGCAAGACAUACAGGUCAGCAAGGAUGAAAAUCGGACUUAGUGA
rnacentral:rRNA from 1 species